CAAGUCGAGGGGCAGCGAAGAGGUAGCAAUACCUCUGUCGGCGACCGGCGCACGGGUGAGUAACACGUAUGCAAUCCACCUGUAACAGGGGGAUAACCCGGAGAAAUCCGGACUAAUACCCCAUAAUAUGGGCGCUCCGCAUGGAGAGUCCAUUAAAGAGAGCAAUUUUGGUUACAGACGAGCAUGCGCUCCAUUAGCCAGUUGGCGGGGUAACGGCCCACCAAAGCGACGAUGGAUAGGGGUUCUGAGAGGAAGGUCCCCCACAUUGGAACUGAGACACGGUCCAAACUCCUACGGGAGGCAGCAGUGAGGAAUAUUGGUCAAUGGUCGGCAGACUGAACCAGCCAAGUCGCGUGAGGGAAGACGGCCCUACGGGUUGUAAACCUCUUUUGUCGGAGAGUAAAGUACGCUACGUGUAGCGUAUUGCAAGUAUCCGAAGAAAAAGCAUCGGCUAACUCCGUGCCAGCAGCCGCGGUAAUACGGAGGAUGCGAGCGUUAUCCGGAUUUAUUGGGUUUAAAGGGUGCGUAGGCGGCACGCCAAGUCAGCGGUGAAAUUUUCGGGCUCAACCCGGACUGUGCCGUUGAAACUGGCGAGCUAGAGUGCACAAGAGGCAGGCGGAAUGCGUGGUGUAGCGGUGAAAUGCAUAGAUAUCACGCAGAACCCCGAUUGCGAAGGCAGCCUGCUAGGGUGCGACAGACGCUGAGGCACGAAAGCGUGGGUAUCGAACAGGAUUAGAUACCCUGGUAGUCCACGCAGUAAACGAUGAAUACUAACUGUUUGCGAUACAAUGUAAGCGGUACAGCGAAAGCGUUAAGUAUUCCACCUGGGGAGUACGCCGGCACGGUGAAACUCAAAGGAAUUGACGGGGGCCCGCACAAGCGGAGGAACAUGUGGUUUAAUUCGAUGAUACGCGAGGAA
rnacentral:rRNA from 1 species